GACGAACGCUAGCGGCAGGCUUAACACAUGCAAGUCGUGGGGCAGCGCGAGGUAGCAAUACUUUGGCGGCGACCGGCAAACGGGUGCGGAACACGUACGCAACCUUCCUCAGAGCGGGGAAUAGCCUCUCGAAAGAGAGAUUAAUACCCCAUAGUAUCUCGGAUUCACAUGGAUCUGAGAUUAAAGCUCCGGGCACUUUGAGAUGGGCGUGCGGCUGAUUAGGUAGUUGGUAGGGUAACGGCCUACCAAGCCAACGAUCAGUAGCUGAUGUGAGAGCAUGAUCAGCCACACGGGCACUGAGACACGGGCCCGACUCCUACGGGAGGCAGCAGUGAGGAAUAUUGGUCAAUGGAGGCAACGUCUGAACCAGCCAUAGCCGCGUGAAGGAUGAAGGUCCUC
rnacentral:rRNA from 1 species